ACAGCAGUAGCCGCGGUAAUACGAAGGGGGCUAGCGUUGCUCGGAAUGACUGGGCGUAAAGGGCGCGUAGGCGGUUCGUACAGUCGGAUGUGAAAUUCCUGGGCUUAACCUGGGGGCUGCAUUCGAUACGUGCGGGCUUGAGUGUGGAAGAGGGUUGUGGAAUUCCCAGUGUAGAGGUGAAAUUCGUAGAUAUUGGGAAGAACACCGGUGGCGAAGGCGGCGACCUGGUCUUUUACUGACGCUGAGGCGCGAAAGCGUGGGGAGCAAACAGGAUUAGAUACCCCCGUAGUCCCUGUCUCUUAUAC
rnacentral:rRNA from 1 species